rnacentral:rRNA from 1 species
AGCGAACGCUGGCGGCAGGCCUAACACAUGCAAGUCGAACGAAGUCUUCGGACUUAGUGGCGGACGGGUGAGUAACACGUGGGAACGUGCCUUUAGGUUCGGAAUAACUCAGGGAAACUUGUGCUAAUACCGAAUGUGCCCUUCGGGGAAAGAUUUAUCGCCUUUAGAGCGGCCCGCGUCUGAUUAGCUAGUUGGCGAGGUAAAGGCUCACCAAGGCUACGAUCAGUAGCUGGUCUGAGAGGAUGACCAGCCACAUUGGGACUGAGACACGGCCCAAACUCCUACGGGAGGUAGCAGUGGGGAAUCUUGCGCAAUGGGCGAAAGCCUGACGCAGCCAUGCCGCGUGGAUGAUGAAGGUCUUAGGAUUGUAAAAUCCCUUCACCGGUGAAGAUAAUGACUGUAGCCGGAGAAGAAGCCCCGGCUAACUUCGUGCCAGCCGCCGCGGUAACAC